AGCGAACGCUGGCGGCAGGCUUAACACAUGCAAGUCGAACGGAUCCUUCGGGAUUAGUGGCGGACGGGUGAGUAACACGUGGGAACGUGCCUUUUGGUUCGGAACAACACAGGGAAACUUGUGCUAAUACCGGAUGUGCCCUUCGGGGGAAAGAUUUAUCGCCAUUAGAGCGGCCCGCGUCUGAUUAGCUUGUUGGUGAGGUAAAGGCUCACCAAGGCUACGAUCAGUAGCUGGUCGAGAGGAUGAUCA
rnacentral:rRNA from 1 species